UACAGAGGUCCCAAGCGUUGUUCGGAUUCAUUGGGCGUAAAGGGUGCGUAGGUGGCGGGGUAAGUCGGAUGUGAAAUCUCGGGGCUCAACCUCGAAACUGCAUUCGAUACUGCCUUGCUAGAGUACUGGAGAGGAGAUCGGAAUUUACGGUGUAGCAGUGAAAUGCGUAGAUAUCGUAAGGAAGACCAGUGGCGAAGGCGGCCAUCUGGACCAGCACUGACACUGAGGCACGAAAGCGUGGGGAGCAAACAGG
rnacentral:rRNA from 1 species